AUUGAACGCUGGCAGCAGGCCUAACACAUGCAAGUCGAGCGAGCGGCGGACGGGUGAGUAAGGUAUGGGGACUGCCCGAUAGAUGGGCAUAACUACUGGAAACGGUUGCUAAUACCGCAUACUAUCCGAUAACCCAUAGUGGAUUAGCUAGUUGGUAAGGUAAUGGCUUACCUAGGCUACGAUCCCGAGCUGGUCUGAGAGGAUGAUCAGCCACACUGGGACUGAGACACGGCCCAGACUCCUACGGAGGCAGCAGUGGGGAAUAUUGGACAAUGGGCGCAAGCCUGAUGCAGCCAUGCCGCGUGUAUGAAGAAGGUCCUAGGGUUGUAAAGUACUUUCAGUAGAGAGGCGUUAACGACAGAAGAAGCACCGGCUAACUCCGUGCCAGCAGCCGCGGUAAUUC
rnacentral:rRNA from 1 species